UAAAAAAAUUCAGAUCUAUAAAUUUUGAUAUCCUCAAUAAUAGAUCUUUUAGUUUUCCUAUCUAAAUCAAAUUCAUUCUCCCAUAUAAAUUUGACGAUUCACUGGUUUUAAUUUUGUUUUUAAUUGCUUAUUCAAUUUCGAUAUUAUGCAUAUUAAAUGUUUGUUGUCUACGAGAGAAAAAAGAAGACGAAGAUGUCUAGUAGAAAACUGAAGACGAAGGAAAAGAUGUCUACGAGGAAACCGAAGAUACAGAGAAGAAGAUGUUUACGAGGAAACCAAAGAUGUUGUGGACAAUAUCAUUGAUUUGAAUCUGAAAUGUUAUCCACUUAAGUAAUAGACUAAUAGGAAUCUGAUUACAUUUUUUGUCCAUGCUUUUAUUACUUUAAAAAUAUUGUCCAUUUACCAGAUUAAAAAUUUCAAGCAAACGUUAUCGACGAUUAUUGGUCCAAGAUGUAUAUAUAUGGUUUUUUUUGUCCA